rnacentral:rRNA from 1 species
UAAUACGUAGGGGGCGAGCGUUGUCCGGAUUUAUUGGGCGUAAAAGGCUUGUAGGCGGCCACCGCGCGUCGGCUGUGAAAUCUCCCGGCUCAACUGGGAGGGGUCAGGCGAUACGGCGGGGCUCGAGGCCGGUAGGGGGACGCGGAAUUCCCGGUGUAGUGGUGGAAUGCGUAGAUAUCGGGAGGAACACCAGUGGCGAAGGCGGCGUCCUGGACCGGCACUGACGCUGAGGAGCGAAAGCGUGGGGAGCGAUCCGGAUUAGAUACCCGGGUAGUCCACGCCGUAAACGGUGCGCACUAGGUGUCGGGGGUAUCGACCCCUCCGGUGCCGCAGCUAACGCAGUAAGUGCGCUGCCUGGGGAGUACGGCCGCAAGGCUA